rnacentral:rRNA from 1 species
UACGGGAGGCAGCAGGGGGAAUAUUGCACAAUGGGCGAAAGCCUGAUGCAGCUAUGCCGCGUGUAUGAAGAAGGCCUUAGGGUUGUAAAGUACUUUCAUCGGGGAGGAAAAACAAAACUAAUAAUUUUAUUUCUUGACGUUACCCGAAAAAGAAGCACCGGCUAACUCCGUGCCAGCAGCCGCGGUAAUACGGAGGGUGCUAGCGUUAAUCAGAAUUACUGGGCGUAAAGAGCACGUAGGUGGUUUUUUUAAGUCAGAUGUGAAAUCCCUGGGCUUAACCUAGGAACUGCAUUUUGAAACUGAAAUACUAGAGUAUCGUAGAGGGAGGUAGAAUUCUAGGUGUAGCGGUGAAAUGCGUAGAUAUCUGGAGGAAUACCUGUGGCGAAAGCGGCCUCCUAAACGAAUACUGACACUGAGGUGCGAAAGCGUGGGGAGCAAACGAGGAUUAGACUACC